AGUGAAAUAGCUGGGUUAAAUGGUGGUUUCAUUCCAGGUUUUCUAAGGAAUCUCCAUACUGCUUUCCAGAUUGGUUGUACCAAUUUGUAGUCCCACCAGCAAU
rnacentral:pre_miRNA from 1 species